ACAUUACCUGUCCUCUGUUUGAAAACUUGUAGAUUAUUUAUUAAUUUACAAAAGUAUGAAGUGUGGAGACUAUAUACCCUACAAUUUUCUGAUUAUUAAUGCCAGUAAAAUGUUAAUUCUACCCUUUAAAAAA